rnacentral:lncRNA from 1 species
GGACAUCACUCAUCGUAUAGGAGCGGGGUGGUCAAAGUGGAGGCUUGCAUCAGGAGUCAUACGUGACAAGAAAAUUCCACAGAAACUCAAGGGAAAAUUUUAUAGAGCUGUGGUUAGACCUCAAUGUUGUAUGGCGCGGAGUGCUGGCUAGUGAAGAACUCUCAUGUUCAGAGAAUGUAGGUUGCAGAGAUGAGGAUGCUCAGGUGGAUGUGCGGGCUCAGCAGGUUAGAUAAGAUUAAGAAUGAAGUUAUUCGAGAGAAGGUGGGGGUGGCCCGGGUGGAUGAGAAGAAGCGAGAGGCGAGGCUGAGGUGGUUCGGGCAUAUGCGGAGGAGAAGUCCUGAUGCCCCGGUGAGGAGUUGUGAGCGCCUGGCGAUUGUCGGCGUUCGGUGAGGCAG